UAGGGUUGAAAACACUUCUACCAAGUAUGAGGUCUUCAUACAUAUGAAAGUUAGAAAAUGUCGAGACAUGUAAACAUUAUGCAGGGAUAAAGUAGGAGUAAGUGCAAUUGAACCCGCUAUAGUGACUGGAACAGGAUCUCCAUUUGUUGUUACAAUACUAUCUUUUGAGGGUAAACGUUUGGUUUGAAAAAAGACGAAUCAUAUGCCAUAUGAUCUGUAGCUCCCGAGUCAUUUACCCAUCCAGUAUCUUGACCAGUGGAGACCAUUAAAGUGACACAAAUAGUACCUGAAUUAUCAGUUGGCUCAGUCACAUCAACCUGGUUGAGAAAAACAACAAAUUGGUGUCUUGAACUUUGGAGGAAUUUACAGAACUACCUUGACUUGUUGCUACAGCAGCAAUUCCAGCUACAUAAUCAAUGAGUUUUGCUUGUCCUGAACGCUUGCCUUUAGCUCUCUUUUGCCUCCUCUUCUCCAAGAACCAUUCGGGAUAGCUGUGAAGUUCAAAGCAAGUUUCCUUUUUAUGUCGAGUCGCAUUGCAAUGACUGCAUCGGAUUUUGUCUUUCUUGGCUUCAUCAAGGUCCCGCAAAGAACGAGGUCGCAUCCCUGAGGCAGUUUUUGAAACCAUUGCAUGGAUUAUUCUACUACAAAAUCCUUCCUUCCAAGCAUAGUUUCUUGCCCCUGAAAUUCACAGAGGAUAAUAUGGCAACAUUCUUCAAAUCUCGGGAGCGGUUUCUUUCAAAGAAUGUCACUUUCAAAUUGGAUUGAACUGUUGGUCAAGCCCGUUGAGAAAAUCAAAUACUCGAUCCUUGUUAAGAUCGUCCAUACAGUUUUUUACAUCUGCUGCACACACUCCAUUCUACUUGGGCAUCGCUUAUCCAUUUUGUUGAAUCUGGGUUGCAUUACAACACAGUUCAUAAUGUUGGGCUUCAUCUUCUCCGUCAUAGAACAUUUGGGUAACGUAAUACUAUCCCAAAUGUCUCGAGCAGUUGGUAACUCAAUAAACAUACCAAUAAGAUGAGGUUCCAUGGUUUUCGACAACCAUCCCUGUGCAACCGCAUCUUCGAUGACCCAUUUGGAAUAACUAGGACCGUCUUCUCCGACUUUCACAGUUUUUUCCAUUCAAGUAGCCAAGUUUAUUCAAGCACGCAGCAUGAACCUUCAUCAUCUUUGACCAUACAUUAAAGUUUCUGUCGUUCAAUUAAGGGUAUGAUGUUGAUAUUGGAUGACUCAGAGCUAACAUUCUAACUUGAGACAGGAGAGUGCAGCCUUGAUGCAUAUUUGGUGGCGUAUUUUUUUCUUGAUGCAUAUUUGUUCAUUCUACCUCAAUCAUAUCCUAUCUAAAACCAAUUUAUUAUGUAUCUGACGGGCUCCUUAAUAUAAUUGAUCUUCAGGCAGCACUGAUAUGAUUUCACUCUUUGUAUAAGGUAAAGAAAACUUGGGAGACAACACAAAAAAAAAAGAAGAAAUAGAGAGAAACAUGACAUUUAAUUGCAAAAAAACAUGAGUUUGAAUCACAGUACACAUGAGUUUGUAUUGGAUUUCAAUUUUAGUAAUCCUGAGUAGCAAUGCUGAAUGACUCAACAACAGCAAGUGCGCAUAACCUGAGUAAAGUUGCUAUUAUGCUUCUGAUACAUGUACAACCAGAUUCACAUGAUUUUCAGAAUGUACAGCUUCUCUAACAAGUGAAAUUGCUAUUUGCUAAUCUCA